UUCAGCAAGCACAGAGAGAAGAAAGCGAUGAGGAAGCUAGCCAGGAAAUGGAAGAAAUCUGGAAACGGAGAAGAAGAUGACGACUUCUCUCUUCCUACUCGUGACGAUUUCCAGCCCAUGGAAACCCUUGAACAAGAGGAGUUGGUCCGAUCACUUGAAAAGAGUCAAGCUCAACAGUCUCUCUUGUGGAGGAGAGUGUUUGCAGCCAUUCUCUUUUGCUAUGCUAUGUUUCUCAUCUACUCAAUUUAUCAACAAGCUUCGUCUCCCUGGGAACUGCGGUAUCAUGCUUACUUCAUGGGCGAGGUUGACUCAUGGAUCAUUAUAUCUGCAGAUUGGGCGGCUGUUUUAGUUUGUUCCGUAGCAAUUGCUGGACUACUAUUCAAUUGUAGUAAUCAUAGAAGAUGGCUUUGGUAUUCCUGCUUGGGUAGCCUUUUCGUGGCAUUAUUCUGGCUCUAUUACAUGCUGAGAUUGCCAAGAUUCAGGUGGGAUGUUGUUUGGCUACCGCUUGGGCCUCUUAGAGGGGUUUUGCAACCCCAUCACCAAUGCUGAUUGGAAUGAGAAGGAAGAAGAUAAUGGCGAUGGCAAUGAUCUUCGAAGAUGAAACCCAUUUUUCAUUGAUGUGGAGCUGGAAUCUGCUUAUAUGUAGACCAUCUACUGAAUGAGUCAUCUGAAGAAGUAAGAAAACUUCGAGGAUACAUGUAUGCCUAUAAAGCCAGCUAAAAGUUACCAAGUGUCCGAAAAAGGCAGAACUGGAUAGAAUCACUUGCUAGAGCGGGCAGGGUUGAUGGAAAUUGAUACUCACAAAUGUAGUCCUGAAAAUCAAAGGGUUGAUUAUUGCCAUCUGAUCGAGCAGUGCACCAUUGGGAAGCCUCUUGCUGUUUUUCAAGUGAAAGUAACUUCUAUUCUCAUCAAUUGGUUGUUUUUGAGGACAGGCACUUGUUUUUGGUUAUUGUUGCUCGUUGCUGCUAUGUAGCUUAAGUAAAUGCUUUGUUGUUUGUUUGGUUGAUGUAUUUUUUUUUUGCCCUGUUUCUUUUAACUGGGAACAUUUUUGGUUGUAACCAUAGUUCCUGUUGAAGAAACAAAGAACUUGUUUUACCUGAUGAAAGUGGGAAAUACAUUACCAAUCAGAAUGGUAAAUCUGAGAUUGUAAGCACCUUGAACAGGUAGACCUGCCUGUUUUCCUUAGCAACGUUGGCAUUUCCCUGUUCGGGACGGGGAGUGGUGACCCCUAUUAGCCCGGACGUGCCAACAGCUAUACUAUACUCGACGAUGGCUCCAUACUGCUAUUUUAUAGUAUGGGGACCCGCAAUAAAAGAAUCGGAUGGCAAUCAUUUUUUCGCUAUAGUAGGUACUGCCCUUAUUCUAUUCCUUCCUUGCGUCAGGAAUAGCGGGCAGGCACUUUCUUC